rnacentral:rRNA from 1 species
UACGGGGGGGGCAAGCGUUGUUCGGAAUUACUGGGCGUAAAGGGCGCGUAGGCGGGAUGGCAAGUCAGUCGUGAAAUCUCUCGGCUCAACCGAGAAACGUCGGCUGAUACUGCCGUUCUUGAGGGAUGCAGAGGAGACUGGAAUUCCCGGUGUAGCGGUGAAAUGUGUAGAGAUCGGGAGGAACACCGGUGGCGAAGGCGGGUCUCUGGGCAUUUCCUGACGCUGAGGAGCGAAAGUGUGGGGAGCGAACAGG